rnacentral:rRNA from 1 species
CGCGGCCUAUCAGCUUGUUGGUGGGGUAAUGGCCUACCAAGGCGACGACGGGUAGCCGGCCUGAGAGGGUGACCGGCCACGCUGGGACUGAGACACGGCCCAGACUCCUACGGGAGGCAGCAGUGGGGAAUAUUGGACAAUGGGCGAAAGCCUGAUCCAGCAACGCCGCGUGAGGGAUGACGGCCUUCGGGUUGUAAACCUCUUUCAGUAGGGACGAAGCGCAAGUGACGGUACCUACAGAAGAAGCACCGGCCAACUACGUGCCAGCAGCCGCGGUAAUACGUAGGGUGCGAGCGUUGUCCGGAAUUAUUGGGCGUAAAGGGCUCGUAGGCGGUUUGUCACGUCGGGAGUGAAAACUCGGGGCUUAACCCCGAGCCUGCUUCCGAUACGGGCUGACUAGAGGUAUGCAGGGGAGAACGGAAUUCCUGGUGUAGCGGUGAAAUGCGCAGAUAUCAGGAGGAACACCGGUGGCGAAGGCGGUUCUCUGGGCAUUACCUGACGCUGAGGAGCGAAAGUGUGGGGAGCGAACAGGAUUAGAUACCCUGGUAGUCCACACCGUAAACGUUGGGCGCUAGGUGUGGGACUCAUUCCACGAGUUCCGUGCCGCAGCUAACGCAUUAAGCGCCCCGCCUGGGGAGUACGG